AUUGAACGCUGGCGGCAUGCUUUACACAUGCAAGUCGAACGGCAGCGCGGGCUUCGGCCUGGCGGCGAGUGGCGAACGGGUGAGUAAUACAUCGGAACGUGCCCAGUAGUGGGGGAUAGCUCGGCGAAAGCCGGAUUAAUACCGCAUACGACCUGAGGGUGAAAGCGGGGGAUCUUCGGACCUCUCGCUUUUUGAUCGGCCGAUGCCAGAUUAGCUAGUUGGUGGGGUAAAGGCCUACCAAGGCGACGAUCUGUAGCUGGUCUGAGAGGACGACCAGCCACACUGGGACUGAGACACGGCCCAGACGCCUACGGGAGGCAGCAGUGGGGAAUUUUGGACAAUGGGCGAAAGCCUGAUCCAGCAAUGCCGCGUGUGUGAUGAAGGCCUUCGGGUUGUAAAGCACUUUUGGCGGGAACGAAAAGGACUGUGCCAAUACCACGGUUCGAUGACGGUACCCGCAGAAUAAGCACCGGCUAACUACGUG
rnacentral:rRNA from 1 species